AUUAAACGCUGGCGGCAUGCCUUACACAUGCAAGUCGAACGGCAGCACGGGGGCAACCCUGGUGGCGAGUGGCGAACGGGUGAGUAAAGCAUCGGAACGUGCCCUGGAGUGGGGGAUAACGUAGCGAAAGUUACGCUAAUACCGCAUAUUCUGUGAGCAGGAAAGCAGGGGAUCGCAAGACCUUGCGCUCUGGGAGCGGCCGAUGUCGGAUUAGCUAGUUGGUGGGGUAAAGGCCUACCAAGGCGACGAGCCGUAGCGGGUCUGGGAGGAUGAUCCGCCACACUGGGACUGAGACACGGCCCAGACUCCUACGGGAGGCAGCAGUGGGGAAUUUUGGACAAUGGGCGAAAGUCUGAUCCAGCCAUGCCGCGUGAGUGAAGAAGGCCUUCGGGUUGUAAAGCUCUUUCGGUGGGGAAGAAAUUGCAUAGGCUAAUACCCUAUGUAGAUGACGGUACCUGGAGAAGAAGCACCGGCUAACUACGUGCCAGCAGCCGCAGUAACAC
rnacentral:rRNA from 1 species